rnacentral:rRNA from 1 species
UACAGAGGUCUCAAGCGUUGUUCGGAUUCAUUGGGCGUAAAGGGCGCGUAGGCGGCCAUGCGUGUCUUCCGUGAAAUCCCUCGGCUUAACUGAGGACGUGCGGAAGAAACUGCAAGGCUCGAGUCCGGGAGAGGGGGGUGGAAUUCCCAGUGUAGCGGUGAAAUGCGCAGAUAUCAGGAGGAACACCAAUGGCGAAGGCAGCACUCUGGGACGUGACUGACGCUGAGACGCGAAAGCGUGGGGAGCAAACAGG